rnacentral:rRNA from 1 species
GAUGAACGCUGGCGGCGUGCCUAAUACAUGCAAGUCGAGCGAACGGACUAGAAGCUUGCUUCUCUGAUGUUAGCGGCGGACGGGUGAGUAACACGUGGAUAACCUACCUAUAAGACUGGGAUAACUUCGUGAAACCGUAGCUAAUACCGGAUAAUAUUUUGAACCGCAUGGUUCAAAAGUGAAAGACGGUCUUGCUGUCACUUAUAGAUGGAUCCGCGCUGCAUUAGCUAGUUGGUAAGGUAACGGCUUACCAAGGCAACGAUGCAUAGCCGACCUGAGAGGGUGAUCGGCCACACUGGAACUGAGACACGGUCCAGACUCCGACGGGAGGCAGCAGUAGGGAAUCUUCCGCAAUGGGCGAAAGCCUGACGGAGCAACGCCGCGUGAGUGAUGAAGGUCUUCGGAUCGUAAAACUCUGUUAUUAGGGAAGAACAUAUGUGUAAGUAACUGUGCACAUCUUGACGGUACCUAAUCAGAAAGCCACGGCUAACUACGUG